ensembl:lncRNA
GUGGCCUGGACAUUCGACGGAAGGCAGCAGGCGUACUGCCGUGGAGCCGGGGCUGGCCUCAGAGGGGGAGAAGGGUCGGGAGUUUGGACCUGCUGAGCCUGAACUAAAAGUGAAGCUAUCCGGGACACAGCCGGGACCCAGUGUGCUCUCCAGAGGGGCAGGGGAUCUGGCAGCAGGCGCAGAACAAGCUCUUGGGAGAAGUUCCGCCCAACGUCAGAGCGGGAACACGAGGGCACCCAGGGAGAAGUGUUGGAAAGCGGCCCUCCGAGAGCACGGGGCUGCACGUAAUGCCGUCUGCCUCGUCGUGACAGCAUGAAACCCUCACAAACGUGAUGCCCGAGCUUGGACUUCUCAGCCUCCGAAACGAGCCAAAGUGAUCUUAAUUCUUCUCAGUGGAGGCUACAGUGGAGUAAACGAGUUCUUGGUCCCUCAGGUAUCAGAGGUCUCUGAAAGAAAUACAAUUGGUAAACGACCGAGGUACUGGGAUAACCUCUCAGGAAUCGUUCCCCACCAGUCCUUUCCCUCCGGCGGUCUAUCAAGCUCACAGGGAAAGACUGAAAAAAGAGCAUCACCGAUGGCCCGGAUGUGAUUGCUUCCUGCACGGCACUGGGAUGUAGCCAACACUUACUGGUGGUCACAGGCACAGUGGGCAUCCACCUACCUCCGACUGCCCACCUCUGUCAACCCUCAGCUCCCGGGUGCUCUCCAGCACUUGGACAGCUCCUCCCCUCCGUGCGGGCUCUGCUCUGCUGCCAGAGGAAAUUUUCUUGUCCUGCCUGAGCUGGGAAGCGAGGAAGUGGCAGAGAUACACACACCUGAGCAAAGAGGAAUGAGCCCAAGAAUGCAUGUACCAGACUCCCGUUCUCAUCUAAAUUAUCAUGUCUAUAAUAAAUGUAUCAGUAGAGAAAAGCAUUGCAG